GAUGAACGCUGGCGGCGUGCCUAAUACAUGCAAGUCGAGCGAACGGACGAGAAGCUUGCUUCCCUGACGUUAGCGGCGGACGGGUGAGUAACACGUGGAUACCCUACCUAUAAGACUGGGAUAACUUCGGGAAACCGGAGCUAAUACCGGAUAAUAUUUUGAACCGCAUGGUUCAAAAGUGAAAGACGGUCUUGCUGUCACUUAUAGAUAGAUCCGCGCGGCAUUAGCUAGUUGGUAAGGUAACGGCUUACCAAGGCAACGAUGCAUAGCCGACCUGAGAGGGUGAUCGGCCACACUGGAACUGAGACACGGUCCAGACUCCUACGGGAGGCAGCAGUAGGGAAUCUUCCGCAAUGGGCGAAAGCCUGACGGAGCAACGCCGCGUGAGUGAUGAAGGUCUUCGGAUCGUAAAACUCUGUUAUUAGGGAAGAACAGAUGUGUAAGUAACUAUGCACAUCUUGACGGUACCUAAUCAAAAAGCCACGGCUAACUACGUG
rnacentral:rRNA from 1 species